rnacentral:lncRNA from 1 species
ACGUGAUUUCUUUUUAAAAAAAGUCUACAGUUAAACUAAUUUAAGGUGAGAUAUAUAAGCUGAUAUUUUGUUUUCAAAAAAUUAGUCCAAUCAAACACCAAGGCUAUUCAUCCAAUGGGACAAUAAGUGUUGCUAACUUAUUAGUGGAACCUAUGCACAUUGAGUUCAAGACAAGAAUUUCUCCCGAACGCGUUGUCCAUAAGCUAAGUCGAUUCCACCAUUUUUUCAAAUUGUUAGAAUUACCAUUCUGUUUUUUAGCAUACCGGCAUGUCAUAUUUUCUACAAUUCUAGAUAUAAAUCUAAAAAAGGAGAAUAAAUAUCACUACUGAAAGGAAAAAAAUAUUGCGGGACCAGUCCCCAGCGGUGAUUAUGGCCAUGCGUAUUGCUCCAUUCAAAAGUAAUAUAAUAAGUGGCGUCCCAAAACCCUCAAAAAAUUUAACAAACCUAUACCUAUUGUAGAUUAUGUUAAAAGUACUGCUUGAUCUUUUCUUAGUAUAAAUAGCCUGUAUGGAUUAUGACUGUCAGAGUUGUGUUAAUUAAUGUAUCUUAAUAAGAAUAUCCACGUGUUCCUAUUAAAUCAAUCCUUCCAUUAUUCCUCUACAUCUUCUCUUCGUUUCUCUCGGUCGUUCUGGAUUCCUGGUACAAAAUAGAUUGUAUUUCUCAACCUCGUCAUAGACACAACACCUAUAUUAUAUGUAUUUAAAAAAUAAACCUAUUUAUAUAAGUAAUUAUAUUACUACGUUGUUGAUCAUUUUUGGGCUAUGCUACGCUUCUGAAUGUAAGACAACUUAUUUUUGCAAUUAAAAUCUUUAACAAUGA